CUUCCUUCCUAAUUUCCUGUCUUCUCCAACAGAGAGAGGUAACAGGUGGCAGGACAGGCUCACUACCAUAUAGUGGAGGCCUAGAGGCACCCUUCCCCAAUAGCUGGAAAUGAUAGAACUUCUAUCAUUUAGCUUAUUGUAAUUUUUAAAGGUGGGAUAAGGUACCAGAUUUCCUCAACUGGAGAGAUAUCAGACCAGUGCAGAGCAAUCUAUAUUUUUAAGAUCCUGCUUUCACGGACUGACAUCUGGACUAAAUUAUUCCAUGGAAGGACUACUGAAAUUAAGUCUUUUGGAGCAACUCCUGACUUCACCUAUGCAAAUCUAGCUCUGCAGGAGUGACCUCCCCAUUCAUUUCAGUGGAGGGACAACUCUACAUGUGCACACAUUUGCAUUCAUGGACUUGCCUACUCCAUUAAGGCGAAUGGUUUAAAAAACAAAUCUUGUACAUCAGAGGAUACAGCAGGACUUCCAUGCCUAUGCUACCAUCAUAUAUUUGAAGAGUAAACAUCCAGAAAGGACAUAUAGAAAGAUGUUUCCUAGACUUCUGACUUUGGACUGAUAGAGAGUUGUACCACUUAAAACCCAGAUCUAUUU